rnacentral:rRNA from 1 species
CUACGGGGGGCAGCAGUGGGGAAUAUUGCACAAUGGAGGGAACUCUGAUGCAGCAACGCCGCGUGGAGGAUGACGCAUUUCGGUGUGUAAACUCCUUUUAUAUAGGAAGAUAAUGACGGUACUAUAUGAAUAAGCACCGGCUAACUCCGUGCCAGCAGCCGCGGUAAUACGGAGGGUGCAAGCGUUACUCGGAAUCACUGGGCGUAAAGCGCAUGCAGGCGGUUAAAUAAGUUGGAAGUGAAAUCCUAUGGCUCAACCAUAGAACUGCUUCCAAAACUGUUUAACUAGAGUCUGGGAGGGGAAGAUGGAAUUAGUAGUGUAGGGGUAAGAUCCGUAGAGAUUACUAGGAAUACCAAAAGCGAAGGCGAUCUUCUGGAACAGUACUGACGCUGAGAUGCGAAAGCGUGGGGAGCAAACAGGAUUAGAUACCCCUGUAGUC